rnacentral:rRNA from 1 species
UACGUAGGGUGCGAGCGUUGUCCGGAAUUAUUGGGCGUAAAGGGCUCGUAGGCGGUCUGUCGCGUCGGGAGUGAAAACUCAGGGCUUAACCCUGAGCCUGCUUCCGAUACGGGCAGACUAGAGGUAUGCAGGGGAGAACGGAACUCCUGGUGUAGCGGUGAAAUGCGUAGAUAUCUGGAGGAACACCGGUGGCGAAGGCGGCAUCCUGGACCAACACUGACGCUGAUGAGCGAAAGCCAGGGGAGCAAACGGG